AUGAAGGUAACGUGAAGCAGCACCUCCUUUCUUCGGAUAGUGCCCUAGUAGAUGGAACACACCGCUAGUUGAGGUUCUGAUCUCUGUAUUCCAUGAAUACGUCGACGGUGAAGUAAAAGCCGGGCGCCUAAGGAACAUUAUCUUCGAGGAACACGAAUGGGAAAAUGUUGAUUGCGAAGUAGAAGUGGAAAUGAUCCCCGAGCAAGACGAAUGGGAAAAAUUGCAUUGCACUUUCAUCGACAGGGCGAUCGCAGCAAACAUACCGUUCGGAACCAAGGAUCCCCGUUACUGCUUCAGAGAUGCGCCACAAGAUUUUGGCCAUGAUACGCAACUCGUCUUGCUGAAAUGGUUUAGUUCUGUGAUUUGGUUAGAAAGAGGGAAGAAAGAGACUGUAUUUUGUUGUUAAUUUCAUUUUGGUGAUAUAUUAGUAUGAAAUAUUUGCUUCAUUUUAUGUU